rnacentral:rRNA from 1 species
AUUGAACGCUGGCGGCAUGCCUUACACAUGCAAGUCGAACGGUAACGCGGGGCAACCUGGCGACGAGUGGCGAACGGGUGAGUAACGCAUCGGAACGUGCCCAGUAGUGGGGGAUAGCCCGGCGAAAGCCGGAUUAAUACCGCAUACGACCUACGGGUGAAAGGGGGGGAUCGCAAGACCUCUCGCUAUUGGAGCGGCCGAUGUCAGAUUAGGUAGUUGGUGGGGUAAAGGCCUACCAAGCCGACGAUCUGUAGCUGGUCUGAGAGGACGACCAGCCACAAUGGGACUGAGACACGGCCCAGACUCCUACGGGGGGCAGCAGUGGGGAAUUUUGGACAAUGGGCGCAAGCCUGAUCCAGCCAUGCCGCGUGCGGGAAGAAGGCCUUCGGGUUGUAAACCGCUUUUGUCAGGGAAGAAACGCGCUGAGUUAAUACCUCGGCGUAAUGACGGUACCUGAAGAAUAAGCACCGGCUAACUACGUGCCAGCCGCCGCCGUAAGAC